GGAGGGGGCAAGCGUUAUUCGGAUUUACUGGGCGUAAAGCGCACGUAGGUGGCAUCGUAAGUCAAAGGUGAAAGCCCUCGGCUCAACCGAGGAAUUGCCUUUGAAACUGCUUUGCUUGAGUCCGGGAGGGGGGAGCGGAAUUCCCAGUGUAGAGGUGAAAUGCGUAGAUACUGGGAGGAACACCGGUGGCGAAGGCGGCUCCCUGGACCGGUACUGACACUGAGGUGCGAAAGCGUGGGUAGCAAACAGGAUUAGAUACCCUGGGUAGUCCACGCCGUAAACGAUGGGCACUAGGUGCAGCGGGUGUCGACCCCCCUGCUGUGCCGUAGUUAACCGCAUUAAGUGCCCCGCCUGGGGAGUACGGUCGCAAGGCUG
rnacentral:rRNA from 1 species